rnacentral:piRNA from 1 species
UCCUGCCUUUCUGCAGCCUCUACAGGCCCA